GACGAACGCUGGCGGCGUGCUUAACACAUGCAAGUCGAACGGAAAGGCCCUGCUUUUGUGGGGUGCUCGAGUGGCGAACGGGUGAGUAACACGUGAGUAACCUGCCCUUGACUUUGGGAUAACUUCAGGAAACUGGGGCUAAUACCGGAUAGGAGCUCCUGCUGCAUGGUGGGGGUUGGAAAGUUUCGGCGGUUGGGGAUGGACUCGCGGCUUAUCAGCUUGUUGGUGGGGUAGUGGCUUACCAAGGCUUUGACGGGUAGCCGGCCGGGGGGGGUGACCGGCGACAUGGGGACUAAGAGAGGCCCAAGACUCCUAGGGGGGGCAACGGUGGGAAAUUUGACAGAGGGGGGGGGAGCGGGUGCAGAAAGCGCCCGGUGCGGAAAAACGUCUUUCUGGUGAAAAACCGCUUCCGCCUGUAACGAACGUUGAGUGACGGUAGUGAAUAAAAAAGCCCCGGCUAACUACGUG
rnacentral:rRNA from 1 species